rnacentral:rRNA from 1 species
CCUACGGGAGGCAGCAGUGAGGGAUAUUGCGCAAUGGGGGAAACCCUGACGCAGCGACGCCGCGUGGGUGAGGAAGGCCUUCGGGUCGUAAAGCCCUGUCUAUACGGGAGCAAUAAGGUCUACGCGUAGACUGAUGAGAGUACCGUAUGAAUAAGCAUCGGCUAACUCCGUGCCAGCAGCCGCGGUAAUACGGAGGAUGCGAGCGUUAUCCGGAUUUAUUGGGUUUAAAGGGUGCGUAGGCGGCUUUUCAAGUCGGCUGUGAAAUUCCCCGGCUUAACCGGGGGGGUGCAGUCGAAACUGAUGGGCUUGAGUGCAGGAGAGGGUGGUGGAAUUCCCGGUGUAGCGGUGACAUGCGUAGAUAUCGGGAGGAACACCAGUGGCGAAGGCGGCCUACUGGGCUUUAACUGACGCUGAGGCUCGAAAGUGUGGGGAGCAAACAGGAUUAGAUACCCUGGUAGUCCACACUGUAACCGAUGAUUGCUAGGUGUGGGAGGUUUGACCCCUUCCGUGCCGCAGUUAACGCAAUAAGCAAUCCACCUGGGGAGUACGAUCGCAAGAUUAAAACUCAAAGGAAUUGACGG